rnacentral:rRNA from 1 species
UGCCAGACUCCUACGGGAGGCAGCAGUGAGGAAUAUUGGUCAAUGGUCGGGAGACUGAACCAGCCAAGCCGCGUGAGGGAUGAAGGUACAGAGUAUCGUAAACCUCUUUUGCCGGGGAGCAACGGGGUCCUUGCGAGGGCCCGAUGAGAGUACCCGGAGAAAAAGCAUCGGCUAACUCCGUGCCAGCAGCCGCGGUAAUACGGAGGAUGCGAGCGUUAUCCGGAUUUAUUGGGUUUAAAGGGUGCGUAGGCGGGCUGUUAAGUCGGGGGUCAAAUGUCGGGGCUCAACCCCGGCCUGCCGUUGAAACUGGCGGCCUCGAGUGGGCGAGAAGUAUGCGGAAUGCGUGGUGUAGCGGUGAAAUGCAUAGAUAUCACGCAGAACUCCGAUUGCGAAGGCAGCAUACCGGCGCCCGACUGACGCUGAGGCACGAAAGCGUGGGUAUCGAACAGGAUUAGAUACCCGAGUA